ACUCCUACGGGAGGCAGCAGUGGGGAAUAUUGCACAAUGGGCGCAAGCCUGAUGCAGCCAUGCCGCGUGUAUGAAGAAGGCCUUCGGGUUGUAAAGUACUUUCAGCGGGGAGGAAGGCAAUACGGUUAAUAACCGUGUUGAUUGACGUUACCCGCAGAAGAAGCACCGGCUAACUCCGUGCCAGCAGCCGCGGUAAUACGGAGGGUGCAAGCGUUAAUCGGAAUUACUGGGCGUAAAGCGCACGCAGGCGGUCUGUCAAGUCGGAUGUGAAAUCCCCGGGCUCAACCUGGGAACUGCAUUCGAAACUGGCAGGCUUGAGUCUUGUAGAGGGGGGUAGAAUUCCAGGUGUAGCGGUGAAAUGCGUAGAGAUCUGGAGGAAUACCGGUGGCGAAGGCGGCCCCCUGGACAAAGACUGACGCUCAGGUGCGAAAGCGUGGGGAGCAAACAGGAUUAGAUACCCGUGUAGUCCC
rnacentral:rRNA from 1 species